rnacentral:rRNA from 1 species
AUGAGGGGAAGCGCGAGGUCUCUAGUUGAAACCGCAACCAGACAAAUCAAACCUGGCAAUGGACUCGCAAGGGUGAUGACGAUUACCACUCCCAAGAAGCACGAGAAGGAGAUCAGCCCUACUGAAUCUGCCCUCCCAAAGGAUGAAAACGUCGAGCCCCUCGUCGCUUUCAGCCGGCCGCCUCCUUUGCCACCGGUUCUAGGCCCCUUGAUCGCGCUCUCGCUUUUUCAGACUUCUUCUAGUGAUGAGGACAGCAAAUGA